GACGAACGCUGGCGGCGUGCCUAAUACAUGCAAGUCGAGCGGAUUUGUUCCUUCGGGGACAAGUUAGCGGCGGACGGGUGAGUAACACGUAGGUAACCUGCCUAUAAGACUGGGAUAACUAUCGGAAACGAUAGCUAAGACCGGAUAACUGGUUUUCUCGCAUGAGAGAACUAUGAAACACGGAGCAAUCUGUGACUUAUAGAUGGGCCUGCGGCGCAUUAGCUAGUUGGAGGGUAAUGGCCUACCAAGGCGACGAUGCGUAGCCGACCUGAGAGGGUGACCGGCCACACUGGGACUGAGACACGGCCCAGACUCCUACGGGAGGCAGCAGUAGGGAAUCUUCCGCAAUGGACGCAAGUCUGACGGAGCAACGCCGCGUGAGUGAUGAAGGUUUUCGGAUCGUAAAGCUCUGUUGCCCUAGACGAACAGCAUGAGGAGUAACUGCCUUGUGUGUGACGGUAUAGGAGAAGAAAG
rnacentral:rRNA from 1 species